UACGUAGGGUGCAAGCGUUAAUCGGAAUUACUGGGCGUAAAGCGUGCGCAGGCGGUUUUGUAAGUCUGUCGUGAAAUCCCCGGGCUCAACCUGGGAAUGGCGAUGGAGACUGCAAGGCUAGAGUUUGGCAGAGGGGGGUAGAAUUCCACGUGUAGCAGUGAAAUGCGUAGAUAUCAGGAGGAAUACCGAUGGCGAAGGCAGGUCUCUGGGCUGACACUGACGCUCAUGCACGAAAGCGUGGGGAGCAAACAGG
rnacentral:rRNA from 1 species